GUCAUGACAAUAAGAGGUGAGUGGUACAGUUGAGGAUGGAGAUUUAAGUAGCCUUCAUCAUUGUGAAAGUUAAAGCAAAGUAUGUCUACGUCUGGAGACAAAUCUAGAUUUGAGCUUGUAAUCCAAUAAUAAACACCAUUAACAAGAGCAUUAUAUCUUGAAGAAGGAUGUUUAUGUGCAUCAAUAUAGCUUGAAUGACGGCGGUAUUGUUUGACAUUAAUACGAGGGCAACGAGUGUGGAUAAUUGUCCAGGAUUUAGUAUGUUUACUUUAGACUAUAAACUUCUGCGGAAUGACAAUUGGAAUUGCAUUCAAACUUUCAAUUUUAGGGACAUCGUGCGACAUAAACUCAAUUAAGGGACAUCAAGGGACAUAUAUUCAAUUUUGUAUCUAAGGCACCAAGGGUCUUCUCCACUUGCAUGUGAAGUUAUGAAGCAUUCACAUUGAAAUUCAAUUCAGACAAUUAAUUUUAGGGAUACCGUGGGAUAUAAACUCACUAGGGACAUAUGUUCAAUUUUGCAUCUAAGGCACCGAUAGUCUUCUCCACUUACAUGUGAAGUUAUGAAGCAUUCACAUUGAAAUUGCAUUCCAACUAUCA
rnacentral:lncRNA from 1 species